GUUCUGUUGCCUCUGAGCAGAAGAGGUGACCCUUUGCACAUAUUCAAAUAAGAUACAAACAUGGGAACGGUUUCUUGUAGAGGUGCCUGAACAGGAAAACGGCUGUACAAAGAAAUUGAGAGAGAAACAUUUUGGUAUUUUCCCUGGCAUCAAAAUACUGCUGGGUUCUGUUUAAGUGGAAGAUGGCCAGUCUGCAUUAGUUGGGUGAAGAGAAAGCCAAGAAGAAGACAAGUCAGCUGCCUGCAAAUAAACAGGGGAGGCACUGAUGCACAAGCCCCUCUCAUGAAGCCACACACACAGAGGAGACAACACUCCUUCAGAAAGGUCAUGGCUGAGGUCCCCCUCACUAGGAAUGCAGGAGCUCAGAAGCACUGCAAAGCUGGGAGCCUGGCAUGAGUCUCCUCACAAAUAAAAUCCUGUAUAACCUGACUUCCA
ensembl:lncRNA